rnacentral:rRNA from 1 species
CCCAGUAAACGGCGGCCGUAACUAUAACGGUCCUAAGGUAGCGAAAUUCCUUGUCAGGUAAGUUCUGACCCGCAUGAAAGGCGUAAUGAUUUGGGCACUGUCUCAACAGCCCGCCCGGCGAAAUUGUAGUACCGGUGAAGAUGCCGGUUACCCGCGACAAGACGGAAAGACCCCAUGGAGCUUUACUGUAGCCUAAUAUUGGGUUUCGAUGUUGCAUGCACAGGAUAGAUGGGACACAGGGAAGUGAUCGCUUUGGCGGUCAUGGAGUGGCCGUUGGGAUACCAUCCUUGCGAUAUUGGAAUUCUAACCUGCGCCUUUGAAUCAAGGCGGGGGACAUUGUUAGGUGGGCAGUUUGACUGGGGCGGUCGCCUCCUAAAGAGUAACGGAGGCGUUCAAAGGUUCGCUCAGCUUGAACGGAAAUCAAGCAAAAGAGUGCAAACGCAGAAGCGAGCCUAACUGCGAGACUGACGGGUCGAGCAGUAACGAAAGUUGGAGUUAGUGAUCCGGUGGUAUGUGAGUGGAAAUGCCAUCGCUCAACGGAUAAAAGUUACCCUGGGGAUAACAGGCUGAUCUCCCCCAAGAGUCCACAUCGACGGGGAGGUUUGGCACCUCGAUGUCGGCUCAUCGCAUCCUGGGGCUGUAUUCGGUCCCAAGGGUUUGGCUGUUCGCCAAUUAAAGCGGUACGCGAGCUGGGUUCAGAACGUCGUGAGACAGUUCGGUCCCUAUCUGUCGUGGGCGCAGGAUAUUUGAUGGGAGCUGUUCCUAGUACGAGAGGACCGGAGCGGACGUACCUCUGGCGCACCAGUUGUUCUGCCAAGAGCAUAGCUGGGCAACUAUGUACGGAUCGGAUAAACGCUGAAAGCAUCUAAGCGUGAAGCCGACCCAAAGAUAAGAUAUCCCACUGAUUCGAUCAGGUAAGAUCCCUUGAAGACUACAAGGUUGAUAGGCACAAUGUGUAAGUGGAGCGAUCCAUUCAGCAAGCGUGUACUAAUAGAUCGAGGGCUUGACCAC